rnacentral:rRNA from 1 species
UACGGGGGGGGCAAGCGUUGUUCGGAAUUACUGGGCGUAAAGGGCUCGUAGGUGGCCAACUAAGUCAGACGUGAAAUCCCUCGGCUUAACCGGGGAACUGCGUCUGAUACUGGAUGGCUUGAGUUUGGGAGAGGGACGCGGAAUUCCAGGUGUAGCGGUGAAAUGCGUAGAUAUCUGGAGGAACACCGGUGGCGAAGGCGGCAUUCUGGACCGAUAUUGACGCUGAGGAGCGAAAGCCAGGGGAGCAAACGGG